UACGAACCACACUAACGUUAUUCGGAAUCACUGGGCUUAAAGGGUGCGUAGGCUGCGCAGAAAGUUGGGUGUGAAAUCCCUCGGCUCAACCGAGGAACUGCGCCCAAAACUACUGUGCUCGAGGGAGAUAGAGGUGAGCGGAACUUAGGGUGGAGCGGUGAAAUGCGUUGAUAUCCUAAGGAACACCCGUGGCGAAAGCGGCUCACUGGAUCUCUUCUGACGCUGAGGCACGAAAGCUAGGGUAGCGAACGGG
rnacentral:rRNA from 1 species